rnacentral:piRNA from 1 species
UGCAUUCUCAUAAUAAAUUUUAGCCAAGUC